rnacentral:rRNA from 1 species
UUUGACCUCAGAUCAGGUA